rnacentral:rRNA from 1 species
UGGGGAAUAUUGGACAAUGGGCGAAAGCCUGAUCCAGCCAUGCCGCGUGUGUGAAGAAGGUCUUCGGAUUGUAAAGCACUUUAAGUUGGGAGGAAGGGCAGUAAGCGAAUACCUUGCUGUUUUGACGUUACCGACAGAAUAAGCACCGGCUAACUCUGUGCCAGCAGCCGCGGUAAUACAGAGGGUGCAAGCGUUAAUCGGAAUUACUGGGCGUAAAGCGCGCGUAGGUGGUUCGUUAAGUUGAAUGUGAAAGCCCCGGGCUCAACCUGGGAACUGCAUCCAAAACUGGCGAGCUGGAGUAGGGCAGAGGGUGGUGGAAUUUCCUGUGGAGCGGUGAAAUGCGUAGGUAUAGGAAGGAACACCAGUGGCGAAGGCGACCACCUGGGCUCAUACUGACACUGAGGUGCGAAAGCGUGGGGAGCAAACAAG